CAAUCGGCUCUUUUGAGGGCCACCACAUUAAUUAUAUACGUGGAA
rfam:Trichomalopsis sarcophagae strain Alberta scaffold18194, whole genome shotgun sequence.